AGUGAACGCUGGCGGUAGGCCUAACACAUGCAAGUCGAACGGCAGCACAGUAAGAGCUUGCUCUUACGGGUGGCGAGUGGCGGACGGGUGAGGAAUACAUCGGAAUCUACCUUUUCGUGGGGGAUAACGUAGGGAAACUUACGCUAAUACCGCAUACGACCUACGGGUGAAAGCAGGGGAUCUUCGGACCUUGCGCGAUUGAAUGAGCCGAUGUCGGAUUAGCUAGUUGGCGGGGUAAAGGCCCACCAAGGCGACGAUCCGUAGCUGGUCUGAGAGGAUGAUCAGCCACACUGGAACUGAGACACGGUCCAGACUCCUACGGGAGGCAGCAGUGGGGAAUAUUGGACAAUGGGCGCAAGCCUGAUCCAGCCAUACCGCGUGGGUGAAGUAGGCCUUCGGGUUGUAAAGCCCUUUUGUUGGGAAAGAAAAGCAGCAGGUUAAUACCCCGCUGUUCUGACGGUACCCAAAGAAUAAGCACCGGCUAACUUCGUG
rnacentral:rRNA from 1 species